rnacentral:piRNA from 1 species
AGGAGUAGUAGCAUAGCAGAUGGAAC